UGGGGGAUAUUGCACAAUGGGCGAAAGCCUGAUGCAGCGACGCCGCGUGGGGGAUGAAGGCCUUCGGGUUGUAAACUUCUGUUGCUCUGAACAAGGCAUGCCUUUGGGGUGUGUUGAGUGUAGGGGUUGAUUAGCGCCGGCUAACUACGUGCCAGCAGCCGCGGUAAUACGUAGGGCGCGAGCGUUGUCCGGAAUUAUUGGGCGUAAAGGGCUUGUAGGUGGCUGGUUGCGUCUGUCGUGAAAGCUCAUGGCUUAACUGUGGGUUUGCGGUGGGUACGGGCUGGCUUGAGUGCAGUAGGGGAGGCUGGAAUUCCUGGUGUAGCGGUGGAAUGCGCAGAUAUCAGGAGGAAUACCGGUGGCGAAGGCGGGUCUCUGGGCUGUUACUGACGCUGAGGAGCGAAAGCGUGGGGAGCGAACAGG
rnacentral:rRNA from 1 species